ensembl:lncRNA
GUCACGACUGGAAUACAGGUAUGGAAGGGUAUGCGCUGUCUAGGAAAGACCGAAACAAAGGUAAAGGUGGGGGGCUGGCAUUGUAUGUCAAUAAUGAGAUAAGCUGUAAAGAAAUAAUAAUUGAUGGAAUAGAUAACACGGAGUCCGUCUGGGCAAUACUCACACUGGGUAAAAGAACUACUAGAGCCUCUCCGGGGAUAGUGCUUGGGGUGUGCUAUAGACCGCCGGGUGCGACCCAGGAUAUGGAUAAAGAACUAUUUAAUGUGUUUAGGGAAGUAAAUACUAAUAGGAACUGUGUAAUUAUGGGGGACUUUAACUUCCCUGAUAUAGAUUGGGGAACAAACGCUAGUAGCAAUAAUAGGGCUCAGAUGUUCCUAGAUGUGCUUGCUGAUCAAUUCCUUCAUCAAGUGGUAGCUGAACCGACGAGGGGGGAGGCCAUUUUGGAUUUGGUUUUGGUGAGUAGUGAGGACCUCGUUGAGGAAGUGGUUGUAGGGGACAACUUGGGCUCCAGUGAUCAUGAGCUAAUUAAGUUCAAACUAAAUGGAAGGAGUAACAGAAUUAAAUCAAAGACUAGGGUUUAUAAUUUUAAAAAGGCAAAUUUUAACAAACUAAGAGGACUGGUAAGGGAAGUGGAUUGGGCAAACAUAUUAAUGGAUCUAAAGGCAGAUGAGGCCUGGGAUUACUUUAAGUUAAAGCUGCAGGAGCUGUCGGAGGCCUGUAUCCCGAAAAAGGGAAAAAGGUUAGUAAGCAAGAGAUUUAGACCGAGCUGGAUGAGUGACCGUCUCAAAGGGGCGAUUAGGAAAAAACAGAAAGCGUACAAAGAGUGGAAGAGGGGAGGGAUCAGUAAGGAAACUUACCUCAGUGAGGUCAGAGAAUGUAGAGAUAGAGUGAGAAAGGCCAAAAGCCGUGUAGAGAUGGACCUUGCAAGGGGAAUUAAAAGCAAUAGUAAGAGAUUCUACAGCCAUAUAAAUAGGAAGAAAGCAAAGAAAGAAGAAGUGGGACCGCUGAAGACUAUAUCCGGAGAGGAGAUCAAGGAUAAUCUAGGCAUGGCACAAUAUCUCAACGAAUAUUUUGCGUUGGUGUUUAAUGAGGCCAAUGAAGGGAUUAGGAAUACUAGCGAAGUGACAGAGGG